rnacentral:misc_RNA from 1 species
GCUGCUUUGAUUAAUGCAGACGUUUCGUAACUUCCGUUUGGUGCGGUUGGUGCUUCUUGAGAUGCGGCUGGAAAUAAGUAAGGAUGGUUGCAGCACUUUUUAAGAUCCAUCAUGAUAUUCAAUAGCGACACUUGUUGACCUCCCCCCUUGGGAUUCAGCGCCUCGAAGUUCCUCGUCAAUAUAUAUUUAUAAUAUUUCUUUUGCAUAGGCGAUAAUUCGACACGGACAAUGAAUUCUGAUUUACUCGGCAUAUUCUAUGAAUAAAAAUGAUUAGUAUAACUUACAUAUUGAAUUUGUGAAAAAAAUACAUAAUACAUACCUUUAAUACAUCAGCCUUUAAUCUCCUCAACAUAUGUGGUCCGAGUAGUUCAUGCAACUUCUUCACUUGUUCUUCUUUCGAAAUAUCAGCGAAUUCAUUUUGGAACGCAGCUAAGUCAUUGAAUUUAUCACGACAGAGGAAAUUCAAAAGAUGGAACAAUUCCUCCAAGUUAUUUUGCAAAGGAGUUCCAGUUAACAAUAAUUUAUACGCGAUAUUAUAGGACGCUAAUAGUCUAAAAAAUUUCGACUGGUUAGAUUUGAGUCUAUGCGCUUCGUCUACUACUAAUACAGCCCAAUCUAUCGAUCCUAAGCACGCAGAAUCAAUUGAGAUCAGCUCAUAACUGGUAAGAAGUACAUUGAACUUAAUUUGAUUCGAUCGGAUCUUCGAUGCUCGGCCACCACGAACAGCACCCUCUUCGAAAGACAAUUCAUUCUCACGAAUCACUAUACGACUGUCCUUGUCACCUGAAAUAUAUAAAUAUAUUAAUAUAAAAUAUUAAUUAGCAAUGAAAAAAUCAAUAAACACAUUUCCAUUAAUUAAGUUCAUAUAUACGUACGUACCAACGUAAGUAACACAAUAAAAAUCAGGUGCCCAGGUUUCAAAUUCACGUUCCCAGUUAAUGAUAGUUGAUAGAGGAACAGAUACAAGGAACGGUCCCUUGCAGUGACCUUCUUU